ensembl:snoRNA
CUUCCUUUUCUUAGCAGGGACUUGGCAUGUGGUCCCAUUCCCCAUUAUGUAUGGAGGCAGAGGGAAAAGGCUGUGGUCCUCCUGGUCAUGUCUUCGGUGCUGAUACCAUUCUACCAUUCUAUCCUGAAAUGUCGGGACACCA